AUUGAACGCUGGCGGCAUGCCUUACACAUGCAAGUCGAACGGCAGCACGGGUGCUUGCACCUGGUGGCGAGUGGCGAACGGGUGAGUAAUACAUCGGAACAUGUCCUGUAGUGGGGGAUAGCCCGGCGAAAGCCGGAUUAAUACCGCAUACGAUCUACGGAUGAAAGCGGGGGACCUUCGGGCCUCGCGCUAUAGGGGUGGCCGAUGGCUGAUUAGCUAGUUGGUGGGGUAAAGGCCGACCAAGGAGAAGAUCAGUAGGUGGUCUGAGAGGACGACCAGCCACACUGGGACUGAGACACGGCCCAGACUCCUACGGGAGGCAGCAGUGGGGAAUUUUGGACAAUGGGCGAAAGCCUGAUCCAGCAAUGCCGCGUGUGUGAAGAAGGCCUUCGGGUUGUAAAGCACUUUUGUCCGGAAAGAAAUCCUUGAUUCUAAUACAGUCGGGGGAUGACGGUACCGGAAGAAUAAGCACCGGCUAACUACGUGCCAGCAGCCGCAGUAA
rnacentral:rRNA from 1 species